rnacentral:rRNA from 1 species
GGCCUACACAUGCAAGUCGAACGGUAACAUGAGAGCUUGCUCUUGAUGACGAGUGGCGCACGGGUGCGUAACGCGUAUACAAUCUACCUUUUACAGGAGGAUAGCCUUUAGAAAUGAAGAUUAAUACUCCAUGGUAUUAUUGAUUGGCAUCAAUUAAUAAUUAAAGCUUCGGUGGUAAAAGAUGAGUAUGCGUUCUAUUAGCUAGAUGGUGUGGUAACGGCACACCAUGGCAACGAUAGAUAGGGGCCCUGAGAGGGGGAUCCCCCACACUGGUACUGAGACACGGACCAGACUCCUACGGGAGGCAGCAGUGAGGAAUAUUGGACAAUGGAGGCAACUCUGAUCCAGCCAUGCCGCGUGCAGGAAGACUGCCCUAUGGGUUGUAAACUGCUUUUAUACAGGAAGAAACCGCUCUACGUGUAGAGCUCUGACGGUACUGUAAGAAUAAGGAUCGGCUAACUCCGUGCCAGCAGCCGCGGUAAUACGGAGGAUCCAAGCGUUAUCCGGAAUCAUUGGGUUUAAAGGGUCCGUAGGUGGAUAAUUAAGUCAGAGGUGAAAGUUUGCGGCUCAACCGUAAAAUUGCCUUUGAUACUGGUUAUCUUGAGUUAUUAUGAAGUAGUUAGAAUAUGUAGUGUAGCGGUGAAAUGCAUAGAUAUUACAUAGAAUACCAAUUGCGAAGGCAGAUUACUAAUAAUCAACUGACACUGAUGGACGAAAGCGUGGGGAGCGAACAGGAUUAGAUACCCUGGUAGUCCACGCCGUAAACGAUGGUUACUAGCUGUUCGGACUUCGGUCUGAGUGGCUAAGCGAAAGUGAUAAGUAACCCACCUGGGGAGUACGUUCGCAAGAAUGAAACUCAAAGGAAUUGACGGGGGCCCGCACAAGCGGUGGAGCAUGUGG